rnacentral:miRNA from 14 species
UAGCUACUUGCUAAAACAUACC